rnacentral:rRNA from 1 species
GGUUAAGCGACUAAGCGUACACGGUGGAUGCCUAGGCAGUCAGAGGCGAUGAAGGGCGUGCUAAUCUGCGAAAAGCGUCGGUAAGGUGAUAUGAACCGUUAUAACCGACGAUACCCGAAUGGGGAAACCCAGUGCAAUUCGUUGCACUAUUGCAUGGUGAAUACAUAGCCAUGCAAGGCGAACCGGGGGAACUGAAACAUCUAAGUACCCCGAGGAAAAGAAAUCAACCGAGAUUCCCCCAGUAGCGGCGAGCGAACGGGGAGGAGCCCAGAACCUGAAUCAGCGUAUGUGUUAGUGGAAGCGUCUGGAAAGUCGCACGGUACAGGGUGAUAGUCCCGUACACAAAAAUGCAUAUGUUGUGAGUUCGAUGAGUAGGGCGGGACACGUGACAUCCUGUCUGAAUAUGGGGGGACCAUCCUCCAAGGCUAAAUACUCCUGACUGACCGAUAGUGAACCAGUACCGUGAGGGAAAGGCGAAAAGAACCCCGGCGAGGGGAGUGAAACAGAACCUGAAACCGUGUACGUACAAGCAGUGGGAGCACCUUCGUGGUGUGACUGCGUACCUUUUGUAUAAUGGGUCAGCGACUUAUAUUUUGUAGCAAGGUUAACCGAAUAGGGGAGCCGUAGGGAAACCGAGUCUUAACUGGGCGAAUAGUUGCAAGGUAUAGACCCGAAACCCGGUGAUCUAGCCAUGGGCAGGUUGAAGGUUGGGUAACACUAACUGGAGGACCGAACCGACUAAUGUUGAAAAAUUAGCGGAUGACUUGUGGCUGGGGGUGAAAGGCCAAUCAAACCGGGAGAUAGCUGGUUCUCCCCGAAAGCUAUUUAGGUAGCGCCUCGUGAACUCAUCUUCGGGGGUAGAGCACUGUUUCGGCUAGGGGGUCAUCCCGACUUACCAAACCGAUGCAAACUCCGAAUACCGAAGAAUGUUAUCACGGGAGACACACGGCGGGUGCUAACGUCCGUCGUGAAGAGGGAAACAACCCAGACCGCCAGCUAAGGUCCCAAAGUCAUGGUUAAGUGGGAAACGAUGUGGGAAGGCACAGACAGCCAGGAUGUUGGCUUAGAAGCAGCCAUCAUUUAAAGAAAGCGUAAUAGCUCACUGGUCGAGUCGGCCUGCGCGGAAGAUGUAACGGGGCUAAACCAUGCACCGAAGCUGCGGCAGCGAACGUAUCACUUAAAACGCUUAACGUGACGGCAAAGCCGGCAUGUUCAAGCCACACUAAACGUU